CUUCUCAAUUGGGGUUGUUUAUAAGGAAGUGGGGGUAUCAUGGUUUAGGUUUAAAACAAAGUGGAAAGCUAACCGAAUCCUUUGGUUAUCGUACAAAACCAAUUAUAUCAUAUAAUGAUUACGACAUUUUAAUUAUCAUAUAAAUUGAAUUUCCAUUAAAAUGAGCAUGAUAGUUUUUUUAACAUGCGUGAUCACAGUAAAGCAUCUCAAUUUUUUUUUUUUUUUUAAUGUUAGGUCCAACAAAUCGGGUGGGUUAUGAAACACGGGUUUAA
rnacentral:lncRNA from 1 species